rnacentral:lncRNA from 1 species
ACCAGGUUUGUGCCUGCUUUGUAAACCCUGCAGCCACUAGCCACUCACAGCUGGUUAAAUCUAAAUUAGUCUGCAUCAUGUGCAGCAUAAGAUCCAGUUUCUUGCACCAGUUGGACCAAGUGCUGGUGGUCACAAGGAACACGACGGUUACAGCGGUGGGCCAGGACGGGAGAUGGGGUGUGCACUGGCCGGUCAGCCCAAGGGAGGCGUGGCAGCUGCUGUGGCCAGAGGCCACACCCAGGGGGCAGCUGGAGAAGUGGCUACAAGUGGACACACACACAGGGGCCGUGCAGGCCACACCUCUGAUCAAAGUGCAGUAAACUAGGAGUCAGUCAUCAAAAUGGAACCCACAGCUGUGAAAGGAGAGACGCUUAUGAACAGUUUGUGUUCAAAGAGCAGAUCAUGAGGGGACUCAGCCACGUUCGUGGGGCACAGUCGAGGCCAGGGAGCGAUACGGCCUGUCAGGGCCUCUGUCCCGGGGACAGUGGUCAGUACUGCUGACCUGCUGCCUGCCCCAGGCAUUUCUGGCGGUAACUUUUCGAUGCUCUGCUUCUACUUUCUUGGGUUUAUCCUGUUAUUAUUUUUCUAUUCCUUGAUUUGGAUUUUAUUUAAAUUUUGCAGUGCUGGUGAUGGAACCCAGGGCAUCGUGUGUGCCAGGCAAGUGCCCCACGUGAGCUGCACCUCAGCCCUGGGUUC